rnacentral:rRNA from 1 species
GACGAACGCUGGCGGCGUGCUUAACACAUGCAAGUCGAACGGAAAGGCCUCUUUCGGGGGGUACUCGAAUGGCGAACGGGUGAGUAACACGUGAGUAACCUGCCCUUGACUUUGGGAUAACUUCAGGAAACUGGGGCUAAUACCGGAUAGGAGCUCCUGCUGCAUGGUGGGGGUUGGAAAGUUUCGGCGGUUGGGGAUGGACUCGCGGCUUAUCAGCUUGUUGGUGGGGUAGUGGCUUACCAAGGCUUUGACGGGUAGCCGGCCUGAGAGGGUGACCGGCCACAUUGGGACUGAGAUACGGACCAGACUCCUACGGGAGGCAGCAGUGGGGAAUAUUGAACAAUGGGUGGAAGCCUGAUGCAGCAACGCCGUGUGCGGGAUGACGGCGUUCGGGUUGUAAACCGCUUUCGCUCAUGACGAAGCUUUGUGUGACGGUAGUGGGUAAAGAAGCACCGGCUAACUACGUG